rnacentral:rRNA from 1 species
GCUGGCGGCAGGCUUAACACAUGCAAGUCGAGCGGGCCCUUCGGGGUCAGCGGCAGACGGGUGAGUAACGCGUGGGAACGUGCCCUUCGGUUCGGAAUAACUCAGGGAAACUUGAGCUAAUACCGGAUACGCCCUUUUGGGGAAAGGCUUGACUGCCGAAGGAUCGGCCCGCGUCUGAUUAGCUAGUUGGUGAGGUUAUGGCUCACCAAGGCGACGAUCAGUAGCUGGUCUGAGAGGAUGAUCAGCCACACUGGGACUGAGACACGGCCCAGACUCCUACGGGAGGCAGCAGUGGGGAAUAUUGGACAAUGGGGGCAACCCUGAUCCAGCCAUGCCGCGUGAGUGAUGACGGCCUUAGGGUUGUAAAGCUCUUUUCUCCGGGACGAUAAUGACGGUACCGGAGGAAUAAGCCCCGGCUAACUUCGUGCCAGCAGCCGCGGUAAUACGAAGGGGGCUAGCGUUGCUCGGAAUCACUGGGCGUAAAGGGCGCGUAGGCGGCUGAUUUAGUCGAGGGUGAAAGCCCGUGGCUCAACCACGGAAUGGCCUUCGAUACUGGUUGGCUUGAGACCGGAAGAGGACAGCGGAACUGCGAGUGUAGAGGUGAAAUUCGUAGAUAUUCGCAAGAACACCAGUGGCGAAGGCGGCUGUCUGGUCCGGUUCUGACGCUGAGGCGCGAAAGCGUGGGGAGCAAACAGGAUUAUAUCCCCUGGGAGUC